CCUACGGGUGGCACCAGUGGGGAAUAUUGGGCAAUGGGCGCAAGCCUGACCCAGCAACGCCGUGUGAGGGAAGAAGGUUUUCGGAUCGUAAACCUCUGUCAGAAGGGAAGAAGUGGCAGGUAUUUAAUAUAUGCCUGCUUUGACGGUACCUUCAGAGGAAGCACCGGCUAACUCCGUGCCAGCAGCCGCGGUAAUACGGAGGGUGCAAGCGUUAUUCGGAAUCACUGGGCGUAAAGCGCGCGUAGGUUGCGUGGUAAGUCAGAUGUGAAAGCCCCCGGCUCAACCGGGGAACUGCAUUUGAAACUGCCAUGCUUGAGUACGACAGAGGGUGGCGGAAUUCCCGGUGUAGGAGUGAAAUCCGUAGAUAUCGGGAGGAACACCAGUGGCGAAGGCGGCCACCUGGGUCGAUACUGACGCUGAGGUGCGAAAGCGUGGGUAGCAAACAGGAUUAGAUACCCUUGUAGUC
rnacentral:rRNA from 1 species